rnacentral:lncRNA from 1 species
AUUUUCUGUGUCCUUUUAGUUUGUCAUUAACAUGGUAGUUUUUUAUACCUCCGAAAUUAGAGUGUCUUUAUGGUACAUAGAAACUAUUCUAAUUAAAGAAAUUGUACUUUAAAUGAAGAAUCUAUCAGAGUUUCUCAUAAAAUGUUUGCACCUGAGUUAAAAUAGGAACCUUAGUGUUUGUUCUGUCAAGGUUCUUCCCUGCCUCUAUCUCCUGAUGAUUCCUUCUUUUAAAUCCAUGAGUUUAUGUUCAGUGUUUUUAAGCUGAUAAUGUAAAAGCAAUGAGGAACAGCAUUGGGCUUCUGGCAGAAAACUCAGAAACUUGGCAUUCUCCUUGCUUUGCUUACCCUACAUUUAGUUAUUACUAAGCUCUUCAGGUUUCUAUAAUUCCUUCAUAUUCUUACUUUCCUUUUCCUUUUCAUCUAUGACCAUCCCUUUCUAGUCUUUUUCUUUUGUUUGUCCCUACAACUAUUCACUUCAUUCAUUCAUUCAUUCAUUCAUUCANUCAUUCAUGCAUUGUCCUUCCCACAUGUGCCAAAAGUUGCUCUGGGGGUAAUAUCAAGGGUUUUAUACUUUAGUCGGGAGAGGAUCCUGAAAAUAAUUGCUUUGAUGGAGGUACACAGCAAGUAUACCUUACACAUGGCAAAAGGAGCUACUGAUUUGGCUUGGGGCAGUCAGGAAAUGUUUUAUAGAGAAGUUAGUAUUUGAGUAGAGAUUGGAAGGUGUAGAACACUGCCAAAUGGACUAGUGUGGUGGAGAGAGAACAUUCCAAAGGAGACACAGGACGGGUGGCUUAGCACAGAACUAUGCAGGGCAGGGUGUAUGCUCCUUGACGUUUGAGUGAUGGUGAGACACAAAGUGGGAAAGAGGAUGUGGGGCUAGGUGGGGAGGCAGGAAUCACAUCUUGAAGGUCUUCUUAUGUGUUGCUGAGUCUUUCUUCCUGUCUCAUGUCUACAAGUUGCAGUUGCCUGCAGUUCAUCAUUCAUGUGGUGAUGAGGCUAUGUUAAGAAGAGCUCAUCUCCUGCCAAGCUCUUUCCUGGUCUCAUUGUUUCCCAGGGGAAGUCAGACCUUCCUAACCAGUCACUUGAGGGUCUUAGCCAUUUUUCUCUUGUAUUUACUCCAAAAAAUCCUUGACCUCAGCUAGAUUUGCUGCAUUACUCUUCAUACACCGUUUAUCCCUUUCUCUUUCUAGCUUCCUUUUUCAAAAUCCUCCCACCCUCCAAGAUCUCACUCAAAUUCAUAUCUUUUAUGAAGCUUUUCUCCACUCAUGUAAUUUUACCCCCUCUGAAGUCUAGGAGAACUUCUGAGGGACACUUCACAUCACAAUCUCACAUGCUUCUUUAAAUCCCAUGUUAUUUUUAUUACUUUCAGGGGACCACUGUGUGUUACUGGGAUGGGCCACCCGCCUAUUAAGUAUCCUGUCUGUGCGAAAAGAGCAACUUCUUGCAUAUAGUAGGCACUGCAUUGAUAUUUGUUAAAAGGAAUGGAGAGGAACAGCGUUCCUUUAAUUUGUAAGGCUCUUACAGAGCUGGAACUGAGGGAUUGAUUAAUUGUCAUAUGGAAGAGGUAGUGGUUAAUGUAAUGUCCAGAUGAAACUCUUGCAGGGCAGAAAAACUGUCAGUGGAAGGUAGAAGGAUUACAUUCAACAAAAGGCAGGAAUGUGUACAGAAAAGAGAUCCAUUCUGAAAACUAGUUACAUGACCCUAGA